rfam:Xenopus tropicalis strain Nigerian Chr10_contig_515, whole genome shotgun sequence.
GGGGGUAUAGCUCAGUGGUAGGGCAUUUGACUUCAGAUCAAGAUGUCCCCAGUUCAAGUCAGGGUGCCCCUU